rnacentral:misc_RNA from 1 species
CGUGAAAUAGCUCAAGAUUUCAAGGUCUAGAUUCUUUAUCACCGUUUAAAUUGUAGUAUCAAUUUUUGGGGAAACUUAUUGCCGAUCCCUAAUUGUACAUGUUUGUUUUCUGGCAGACGGAUUUGAGGUUCCAGAGCCAUGCGGUGCUUGCACUUCAGGAGGCUGCGGAGGCCUAUUUGGUGGGUCUGUUCGAGGAUACCAAUCUCUGCGCCAUUCACGCCAAGCGGGUAACUAUAAUGCCCAAGGAUAUUCAGCUGGCUAGGCGUAUUCGUGGUGAACGUGCCUAGAUGUAUUUUGUCUUGUGUUUGCUGUUUAGUUCAAGUAUUUAGGUUUUCUCUUCAUAGAAUUUGAAGUUAGAGAAGGAAUUGUUGAAACCAGUAUCUUAUAGUAAUCAAUAUAAUUUUCUGUCUCUGGAUGAUGGCCCUUCAAAGCUGCUUGUCGCUAUGAAAUCGCAUAUCUUCAAUGCGAAUGUUUUGCCUGACUCUUUUCUUUGACAAAUUUUUAUUAUUGGACGGUUGCAAUAUUCUGUGUGCAAUUAAUUAAAUCGGC